CACGUAGGGCGCAAGCGUUGUCCGGAAUCAUUGGGCGUAAAGCGCGCGUAGGUGGCCAUUUAAGUCCGCUGUGAAAGUCAAAGGCUCAACCUUUGAAAGCCGGUGGAUACUGGAUGGCUAGAGUACGGAAGAGGCGAGUGGAAUUCCUGGUGUAGCGGUGAAAUGCGCAGAUAUCAGGAGGAACACCCGUGGCGAAAGCGGCUCUCUGGGACGGUACUGACGCUGAGACGCGAAAGCGUGGGGAGCAAACAGG
rnacentral:rRNA from 1 species